GACGAACGCUGGCGGCGUGCCUAAUACAUGCAAGUAGAACGCUGAAGGAGGAUCUUGCUUCUCUGGAUGAGUUGCGAACGGGUGAGUAACGCGUAGGUAACCUGCCUGGUAGCGGGGGAUAACUAUUGGAAACUAUAGCUAAUACCGCAUAAUAGUAGAUGUUGCAUGACAUUUGCUUAAAAUGUGCAAUUGCAUCACUACCAGAUGGACCUGCGUUGUAUUAGCUAGUUGGUGGGGUAACGGCUCACCAAGGCGACGAUACAUAGCCGACCUGAGAGGGUGAUCGGCCACACUGGGACUGAGACACGGCCCAGAAGCCUACGGGAGGCAGCAGUAGGGAAUCUUCGGCAAUGGACGGAAGUCUGACCGAGCAACGCCGCGUGAGUGAAGAAGGUUUUCGGAUCGUAAAGCUCUGUUGUAAGAGAAGAACGAGUGUGAGAGUGGAAAGUUCACACUGUGACGGUAUCUUACCAGAAAGGGACGGCUAACUACGUG
rnacentral:rRNA from 1 species